GGGUUGUGAGGUUAAGCGACCAAGCGUACACGGUGGAUGCCCUGGCAGUCAGAGGCGAUGAAGGACGUGCUAAUCUGCGAUAAGCGCCGGUAAGGUGAUAUGAACCGUUAUAACCGGCGAUUUCCGAAUGGGGAAACCCAGUGUGAUUCGUCACACUAUCAUUAACUGAAUCCAUAGGUUAAUGAGGCGAACCGGGGGAACUGAAACAUCUAAGUACCCCGAGGAAAAGAAAUCAACCGAGAUUCCCCCAGUAGCGGCGAGCGAACGGGGAGGAGCCCAGAGCCUGAAUCAGCAUGUGUGUUAGUGGAAGCGUCUGGAAAGGCGCGCGAUACAGGGUGACA
rnacentral:rRNA from 2 species